rnacentral:rRNA from 1 species
CUGUGAAGCAUGCACGCCAGUGUGUGUGGAGUCAACGUUGAAAUACCACUCUGGUCGUUCUGGAUAUCUAACCUCGGUCCGUGAUCCGGAUCAGGGACAGUGCCUGGUGGGUAGUUUAACUGGGGCGGUUGCCUCCUAAAAGGUAACGGAGGCGCCCAAAGGUUCCCUCAGCCUGGUUGGCAAUCAGGUUUUGAGUGUAAGUGCACAAGGGAGCUUGACUGUGAGACAGGCAUGUCGAGCAGGGACGAAAGUCGGGACUAGUGAUCCGGCGGUGGCUUGUGGAAGCGCCGUCGCUCAACGGAUAAAAGGUACCCCGGGGAUAACAGGCUGAUCUUGCCCAAGAGUCCAUAUCGACGGCAUGGUUUGGCACCUCGAUGUCGGCUCGUCGCAUCCUGGGGCUGGAGUAGGUCCCAAGGGUUGGGCUGUUCGCCCAUUAAAGCGGUACGCGAGCUGGGUUUAGAACGUCGUGAGACAGUUCGGUCCCUAUCCGCUGUGCGCGUAGGAAACUUGAGAAGAGCUGUCCCUAGUACGAGAGGACCGGGAUGGACGAACCUCUGGUGUGUCAGUUGUUCUGCCAAGAGCACGGCUGAUUAGCUACGUUCGGAAGUGAUAACCGCUGAAAGCAUCUAAGCGGGAAGCACGCUUCAAGAUGAGGUUUCCAUGGGCUUCGGCCCGAGAGGCUCCCAGCUAGACUACUGGGUUGAUAGGCCAGACGUGGAAGCACAGUAAUGUGUGUAGCUGACUGGUACUAAUAAGCCGAUAACUUGACACAACAAAG